rnacentral:rRNA from 1 species
UACGUAGGGUGCGAGCGUUAAUCAGAAUUACUGGGCGUAAAGCGUGCGCAGGCGGUGAGCUGUGUCCGAUGUGAAAGCCCCGGGCUUAACCUGGGAAUGGCAUUGGAAACUGGCUCGCUGGAGUGUGGCAGGAGGGGGGUGGAAUUCCGCGUGUAGCAGUGAAAUGCGUAGAGAUGCGGAGGAACACCGAUGGCGAAGGCAGCCCCCUGGGCUAACACUGACGCUCAGGCACGAAAGCGUGGGGAGCAAACAGG